UCCAUUAAUACAUAUUUAUAUAGAGAGAGAGUAGAGCUAUUAUACUUUGAGAAGUAUAAGAGAAUUGGUGCUUCCAACUUUUUGGCACUUGGAUCAACUCGUUUGACCAUUCUUAUAUUUAGAUUAAUACUAUAACUUUAGGAGGAUCACUCAAUCCUAAGCAUAGUUAGUUAAUUCGGAUUCGGCAAAAAUUCGGUACGGAUAUAAUACGUAUAAAAUUCGUUUUCUAAUUUUUAAAUUCGUUGAAAAAUUCGGAUUAAAAAAAGAUUCGGUAUAAAGUAUAAAAUAUAAGAUAUAAAAUAUUAAAUAAUUUAUAUUUAAAAAUAAAAAUUAUAAGUUUUUAUUCAUAUUUUCAAUAAUUCAGAAAUAAUUCGCGAAUAAUUCGGCUGCCCCAAAAAUUUGCGAAUAAUUCUCUUUUUUGGGAAAAAUUCGUAAACGGACCGUUUAAUUCGGAUUUUCAAUAAUUCGCGAAUUAACUAACUAGGAUCCAAAGGUGACCACUCAAUUCUAAAGAGACUACUAUCAUCUCGACCCUAUAAUUUUUUAUCCAAGCGUCAAAAAGUCGGAAGUACAAACUCUUUUAGAUUUUCGAAAGUAAAGAAUAUAUAUAUAUAUAUAUAUAUGCUACUAUACUAUCGAUAAUACCAAGUGUUUGGUGCUAUCGAGUUUUCGAUCGUUGGAUGAAAGGAUAUACUGUUAGAAUGAUAGUGGUCUCCGGUCAGGAUGACAAUAGUCCCCUAGGGUUGAGUGGGUGAUUGGUUGAAUAGUAUAAUCUAAUGGAUAAAAAUAAUCAAAUGGUUGAUCUAACGGCAGAAAACUCGAUAGUACAGAGCUUGGUACUAUCAAUAGUAUAGUAGCCAGACUCUCUCUCUCUCUCUCUCUCUCUCUCUCUCUCUCUCUCUCUCACACAAAUAUAUAUAUAGUUGAGCUAGAAUACUUCCAAAAGAACUAAAGAGGUGGUGUUUUUGAGUUUUUAGUCUUUGGAUGAAGAGAUGUAGGGUUGGGAUGAUGAUGGUAGGUGGUGGUAGGUGGAAUAGUGUUUGAUCCAAUGGUUAUUAAUAAUCGAGGAGUAGAUACAAGGGCUAAAAACUUGGAAACACCAAGUAUUCUAGCUCAAAUAUAUAUA
rnacentral:lncRNA from 1 species